UGGACACGUCAUAAUAAAAAAAAUCUGCUUAAAAGACAUUUAAAUGUGCUCUGAAAAUAAGUUCUGUGGGUUCUUUAAACCUUCCAUCUUAAUAUCUAGACUAUUCAAAGUGAAUAAUAUUACAGCAUAUUAGAUUUUAUUGCUUCAGAAUGUGUAGUAUUCUGAAUGUCCAUGUCCACUUGACUUUGUGUAGAAACAUUAAAGAAAGGCCACCAUAAUAAAUAUAUCCAACACCUGAGUUAGGAUUCACAUUAGCUGCCACCUAACCUUAGAGGAAGAAUUUUCACAGUGAUGUAAACUUGAGACAUGAAAAGGAUAAUUAGUCCAUGACUGUAAAUUUUCCUGUCUGCCCUUGGAUGUUGUUAUAAUGACUAUUUCCCCCAUAGCCCAAAUUAGUAUCUCUUUGUGGACAUGCAUGCUGAAUCUCUAGUCAUUUACUCUCUGAUGUUAACAUUAACAAAUUUGAAUUUGAGAGACAUGAUACAAAUAAAAUGCACAGUCCAAAUGUUGAGAAAGUACUUUACACUAAAUCCUAGCCAGUUCUUUAGUAUUGUACCCAUUUCAGAGAACUGAGAAAUAAGAUACCUAAAAUUGGAAAACUCUUCCGAAUCUUGACUGUAAGCUAUAUUGUGGGAAUUGAAAUGAACAAA
rnacentral:lncRNA from 1 species